ensembl:lncRNA
CAGACCCCCAAGUGCCUUGUCUGCAGACAACCUGUUUUAUGAAUGCUGGCAGCCAGAACAUGCAUGCAGUGCUUCAUAAUGCGCCCAAGAUCAAAGGUACCAAGUUAAUUUCUCAAAUCCCUUUUCCUUUUCUGAAUUGUGGCAUUAGACUGUAAUGCUAAUACCAGAGCUAAGGAGUGGAAGGCGGAGAAGGAGCAGGAGGAGGACACAUGGGUGCAAUUGUACUCAACAAGGGCAUACCUACAGGCACUCUGGUUGAUGAAGGCUUACAGCUACAAAAUUAUUCCUCCUACUACCUGAGGACUUACAAGGAUGUCACUACCUGCAGGUUCUGACAUGACAGAACUUCCGUAGAACUGCAACACAGAACAACAGACUGAGUCAUGCCUGAGAGUGCAACUCAUUGAAAUUACCCCAUACGCUGGGCUGGUUGGCCUCACCUCCCAAACCCAACAUUGCUAAAGAGCAUCCUGCUGAUUGCUAAUUUACCAGCAGCUUUCAGUGAAAUUAGCCAAAGGGGAAAGAAGCAAGUCUUGGAAGAUCUGAAUGAGUCUCUGGGAGAUGCAGAACCGUGGCCCAUUACCAUGGUCUCCAGAUCACUUCAAGGCUCUGGGACAGGGUGUCUGCUCACUCAAAGGAAAGACAAUUCCAAAGCCAGCUUGUCUUCCUCACAAAGUUUCUUAUACAUAUGUACACAUAUAGCUGGUUUCUAUGCAGCUUUACAUUUACUAGUAAUCAGAUAGUUGGCCCUCCUAAUUACCUGACCGUGUACAAAGGAAACUGCAGUUACAAGGCUGCACUUAUGCUUUAGCUUCCGUGUUGAUGUUUAGACAGCUUUAUUACAAUGCAAAUCCAGGGGCUGAAACUCUGGCACUGCAGAUAAUUCCCAUGUGGCAACUGUAAGGUGGCUGGAAAUAGCCAAGAGAAAUACUCACAUGGUAAAAGGAGGAAAAUGCUUCCUGCAAAGUUUUGAGCCAUUUUAUUUUUCCUGACAUGGAAGAUGAAGAGAUUGGGAUGUCCUACAGUGCAGUUAUUCUGGACUACUAUCAAUGCAGAUAGGAAAGCCUUUCAAGCCAGCGUUUCAAAACACCUUACAUGUCAUUUGAAGAAUUGAAACAGACUAGAUGGAAGCUAGAUUUCUCUCCUCAGAGGGAGAGAAAGAGCUAGGACUGAAAUUAAAUGGUGCGAAAGAAAUGCAGCUAGGAAUGAAGGAGCCAGCCUGCUCUAGGAACUCUGCCCCUGGAACCUUGACAGAUAAGAACUGCAAGAAACAGGGACAUGAUUACUAUGGAGAAGGUGGACCCUGAUGGAGGGAAACCUGACUCACCUUGUGGAAGAAUUCAGCAAUACCUGAUAAUAUCUUAACCGAGGGAAGCUGACAGAGACCUCCCUCUCAGACAGGUUUGAUGAGGAGCAGUCACUUUCAAGAAAGUCUUUUGCCUUUGCCCUGAUUUCCCCAGCAUUACCAGAGGUGAAGCGAUCAUAACCAGAUGUUAUAGAUCAAAAAACAGGGUUUUUUCUUGCUACCACUGUACAUUCAUAAGUUUGGAAUAUGCCUCCCAAGGGUGAAAUCAUAAAGAAGUGAAUGUCGCUGCAGGUCCUAGCUUCCUUGCUUCAUUUUGCAAUGGAUACCACAAAAAGAUUGUCAGUUCUAGGAAUUCUCCAUGUAGGAAUGAGAUCAAAAGAGCAAGGAAGGAUUGCUUGUUUCUUUGUUUUCCCUGUAAGUUUCAUCUUCUACGGAACAUUCUCUUUUCAUGCAUAUUC